GAUGAACGCUGGCGGCGUGCUUAACACGUGCAAGUCGAACGGAAAGGCCAGUGCUUGCACUGGUACUCGAGUGGCGAACGGGUGAGUAACACGUGGGUGACCUGCCCUGCACUUCGGGAUAAGCCUGGGAAACUGGGUCUAAUACCGGAUAGGACAACGGUUUGCAUGCCGUUGUGGAAAGUUUUUUCGCGGUGGGAUGAGCUCGCGGCCUAUCUGCUUGUUGGUGGGGUGAUGGCGUACCCAGGCGUCGACGCGUAGACGGCGUGUGAGGGGGUGCGGGGACAUAGUGGGAGGGAGACACGGCACAGACCUACGGGGGGGGGCGCUGUGGAGAAUUGUGCAAAAGGGGCGGACCCGAGGUGGAGAAGCGCCGUGUGGGAGAUGACGGUUCGCGUGGUGAACACCGUUCGCGAGGGUGAAGGAGUGUUAGUGACGGUACCUGGUGAAGAAGCACCGGCUAACUACGUG
rnacentral:rRNA from 1 species